ensembl:lncRNA
CGCUCACCUGGACACUCACAAGUGUGUGUGUGGGGGGAGGGGUGCUCACCUGGACCCUCACGGGUGUUUGUGUGGGUGGGUGGACACUUGCCUGGACACUCACAGGUCUGUGUGUGUGGGGGGUGGACACUUGCCUGGACACUCACAGGUGUGUGUGUGUGUGGAUACUCACCUGGACAUUCACGGGUGUGUGUGUGUGUGUAGGGGGGACGCUCACCUUCAUACUCACGUGUGUGUGGGGGGGCACUCGCCUCCACACUCAUGAGUGUGUGUGACUGUGUGUGUGUGUGUGUGUGUGGUGGGGAUGCUUGCCUGGAUACUCACAGGUGUGUGUGUGUGUGGGGGUAGAUGCUUCCUUGGACAGUCACAGGUGUGUGUGUGGGUGGGGGAAGCUCGCCU